CUACGGGAUGCUCCAGUGGGGAAUAUUGCACAAUGGAGGAAACUCUGAUGCAGCAAUGCCGCGUGAGUGAAGAAGGCCCUUGGGUCGUAAAGCUCUUUCGAUUGGGAAGCAGGGUCAUGUAGUUAAUACCUGCAUGAUUUGACGGUACCUAAAGAAGAAGCACCGGCUAAUUUCGUGCCAGCAGCCGCGGUAAUACGGAAGGUGCAAGCGUUGUUCGGAAUCAUUGGGCGUAAAGCGCACGUAGGUGGGUAGGUAUGUCGAUUGUGAAAGCCCAGGGCUUAACCCUGGAAUUGCAGUCGAAACUGUCUAUCUUGAAUAUCUGAGGGGGUGGGGGAAUUCCUGGUGGAGAAGUGAAAUUCGUAGAGAUCAGGAGGAACAUCUGAGGCGAAGGCGCCUACCUGGCAGAAUAUUGACGCUGAGGUGCGAAAGCGUGGGUAGCAAACAGGAUUAGAUACCCCCGUAGUC
rnacentral:rRNA from 1 species